UAAUUAGGUGAAUAAGUUCACCUCAUGGUUCCCUAACUUCCAUUCUCCUUUCUUUCCCUCAAUCCAAACAAGUCCUAAGCGUCGAGAAACAAAUCCAAUCAAAACUCUCGUCUUCGUUCCGAACAUGAUCAUCCCUAAUUCGAUUCGAAAACACUCAAUUUCAAGCCCCAAGCCCAUCGAAUAGCUUGGGUAGGGUUUUACCACGAGACCUAGCGAAAAAGGGUUUUGAAGCUUGAGAAGAUGGAAGGAAAAUUGAAGCCGAAAGUGCUCGCGCACAAAAGACCAAAGUCACAGAAACGAAAGUGAUGAGCAUCAUAUCCAAUCCGUGUCUGAUGCAUUUGCACCUCUGCCUCUAAUCGUUUAGCAAGGAUUAUCUUGUGGGUCUCAGCGCCCCCCCACCCCCGCACACACCCCCACCCCAAUUUGAUAGUCAUCUAGACUAUUGCAGACUAUCAUUGUAUUUUAAUCAUAGCCGAGAUGUUUGAUAUAUCAGCAAAAUGUUGGAUAGCAGGUUCCUAAUAUGUUUCCUAAUUUGUUUUUGUAACAGGUUAUUGAGAUUCCUAAU